AUUGAACGCUGGCGGAAUGCUUUACACAUGCAAGUCGAGCGGCAGCGCGGCCUUCGGGCUGGCGGCGAGCGGCGAACGGGUGAGUAAUGCAUCGGAACAUGCCCAGUCGUGGGGGAUAACACUUCGAAAGAAGUGCUAAUACCGCAUACGUCCUGAGGGUGAAAGCGGGGGAUCGCAAGACCUCGCGCGAUUUGAGUGGCCGAUGUCAGAUUAGCUAGUUGGUGGGGUAAAGGCCUACCAAGGCGACGAUCUGUAGCUGGUCUGAGAGGAUGAUCAGCCACACUGGGACUGAGACACGGCCCAGACUCCUACGGGAGGCAGCAGUGGGGAAUUUUGGACAAUGGGGGCAACCCUGAUCCAGCCAUGCCGCGUGAGUGAAGAAGGCCUUCGGGUUGUAAAGCUCUUUCGGCAGGAAAGAAACGGUGGGCUCUAACAUAGUCCGCUAAUGACGGUACCUGAAGAAGAAGCACCGGCUAACUACGUG
rnacentral:rRNA from 1 species